ACAGAGAGGUAUCCCAGGCCGAGGGAAUCACCUGGGCAAAAGCCGGGGGGUGGGAGGGAGUGUGGAAUGUUUGUGUACCAGCAGGUCCUAGUUCAGGAGAGGGAAGAGUGGGUGUUGUGAGUCUGUGGGGGACCUGGGUGUCCAGGCAUGAGGUCAAAGAGAUAAUAGGCAUGGACCUCAUAGUCCAAGUGGGGCUCUAGCCGUGGGGAGCCACUGAGGGGUUAAGCAGGCAGAAGCCCCGCCAGCUCCUGAUUGGGUUUCAUCAGCCCAGCCUGUGGUUCCGCAGCAGCCUACCCAGCUGGGGCCUUUCUCCUGGCUCCCUUGGCCCAGGGAGCUCCCACUCAUUAUUCCACUGGGCAGAAGAACCAGCCCUUCUCAGCUCCUGGAAAGUGACUCUAUUGCUCCACUGGUCCUGGGACUUCCGCUUCAAGGAUAGCUGAACACAGCCUGUUUCUAGAUGUUGUAGUUCUUUGACUCAAGGAUUUACUGGAUGGACAGUGACCUCAAAGGAGGGAAAGGAGCAUUUGGAACAGCCAGAAGAGAAGGCCCUAGAUUAAGCCUGGGCCAGUGACAGAGCCUCGCCGUCUGGGGAUGGACGUUUCCCCAGGAAGUGCCACUGAAAUGAAAGUUACAGCUCACCUUCCCAGUGAUAUUAGUGACAGCUGGGCAGCACAACUUCUCUGCAGCCUUCCGUCACCACAGCUCAUCUUGAAGCUCUGACUGCAUGUUGCCAGUGUUUAAAAUCAGAGUUUGGGGUGAGUGAAUGUGGCAGGGGAAACCCUCCCUUGAGUUUUGAUUAUACCUAGGAUUAUUGGAUAUUAAGUUCGGAGAAAUAAAGACAUUCAAGAACAUAAAUGGGAGUUCCCGUCAUGGCACAGUGGUUAACGAAUCUGACUAGGAACCA